rnacentral:lncRNA from 10 species
CUUCAAACAGAGCAGCUGAAGAGCAGCAAAGGCAGGGAAAGGGCUUUCUCUGAUCUACCCUUAACCGACUAAGACACUGUAUUAGGAUCUGGUGACAUAGUGGGAUAGAAGGACAAAGCCACGCUCUUAUGAAGCUUACAUUCUAGGAUAAUUCUUUGCCAUAAACAUAAACCAAACACUUCCACUAGAAAUGCUGACCAAUGCCUGGAUUCUCUGCUCAUUCUAGGGGAAACCAGCUGCCAUAUUAAGAAAACAGUCCUAUGGAAAGGGCCAUGGAACAAAGAAGUGACUUCUGCCAACAACCUCAUGAGUGAACCUAGAAGUGGCUCAUCUAGUCCUGGUCAAAUCUUAUGGACUGUGGCUCCAACUGAUAGUGUGACUGUAACUUCAUAAGAGACGCUGAACCAGACCACCCAAUAAGACACUCCCAGAUUCCCUACUCUCAAAAGUUGUGUGAAAUAAUCACCCCCAGUUGUAUUAAACUGCUAAGUUUUGGGGUAGUGUGUUACACAGCAAUAAAUCAUAAAUACAACAUCCAAGCAAUAAAUUUCUAUGAUAAAUAC